GAGACGGACUAAAUAGAGGACCUAAACCAGCAGGAAGAUGAACUCAGGGAGGUGCUGAGGAGACGAGAAGAAAGAAGCGGCUGGGGCUGAAGGAGAGGUGACAGCUCAUCAACUGCUUAACCAGAGGAAACCCACACUUAAGCCACAGCACAAGCCGGAUGCAAAGAUGUGCACUGCGGCCCAGCAACUCAGGAGGCGCAGCCUGCAGGACAGCUUCCCAGCCACCAGUCAGCUCCAGCCUGCACUGACACUGAGACUCAUUUUCUCUAUGAUCUUCUGAGGUCUCCUGCAUUCGUGCUAAAGUACUGGCUGAAGAGUCUCAGUUGGCAGAAUCUUAUCUGACAUACACGAACUCCUGGGUCCAGACAGCAGCACCUCGCAACACCCGCUCAGCAAUGCACACCCUAAUCUCAGUGCUCACGAUGGAGGCAACAGCAUCAGAAAUCAAUACACAAGGAAGUUCAAGGCUGAACCACGACACUUAAAGCCUUCCUUUAAAUAAAUAAAUAAAUAAAUAUAAAUAAAUAAAUAAAUAAAUAAAUAAAUAAAUGGAUGAAUAAAUGAAUGAAUAAAA